UACGGAGGGUGCAAGCGUUGCUCGGAUUCAUUGGGCGUAAAGGGUGUGUAGGUGGCGCCGUAAGUCGGGUGUGAAAUUUCGGAGCUUAACUCCGAAACUGCAUUCGAUACUGCGGUGCUUGAGGACUGGAGAGGAGACUGGAAUUCAUGGUGUAGCAGUGAAAUGCGUAGAGAUCAUGAGGAAGACCAGUGGCGAAGGCGGGUCUCUGGACAGUUCCUGACACUGAGACACGAAGGCCAGGGGAGCAAACGGG
rnacentral:rRNA from 1 species